UGUUAUACUUAACUGUAAUUUAAUACAUACCUGCGUAGUAAUAGCUAUAUUCUUAAAAUUCAAAGAAAUUGGCGGUGCUUUAAUCUUAGUCAGAGGAACCUAGUUUUAUAAACGAUACACCACGAAAAAUCUUACUUAUUUUAAAUAACUUGUAUACCGUCAUUAUUAGAUAAUUCUGAAAAGAAAAAUCAUCUGAACCAGUAAGGCUGAAUAUAUUAGAUCAAGGUGCAGUCAAUAAAUAAGUAAAAAUGGGUUACAAUAGUAUUUCACUAAUCGGAUAAAAAAUUUAAUUAUUUCUUUGAAGUAGGAUUUGCUUGUAUAUUUAAUUUAAAAUGUUAAUUAGAAAUUAGCACUAAAGCAUGUAC
rnacentral:rRNA from 1 species